rnacentral:rRNA from 1 species
UGAUAUGAAGAGCUUGCUCUGAUUUGAUUUUAUCUGACAAAGAGUGGCGAACGGGUGAGUAACACGUGGGUAACCUACCUCUUAGCAGGGGAUAACAUUUGGAAACAAGUGCUAAUACCGUAUAACACUAACAACCGCAUGGUUGUUAGUUGAAAGAUGGUUCUGCUAUCACUAAGAGAUGGACCCGCGGUGCAUUAGCUAGUUGGUAAGGUAAUGGCUUACCAAGGCGAUGAUGCGUAGCCGAGUUGAGAGACUGAUCGGCCACAAUGGGACUGAGACACGGCCCAUACUCCUACGGGAGGCAGCAGUAGGGAAUCUUCCACAAUGGGCGCAAGCCUGAUGGAGCAACGCCGCGUGUGUGAUGAAGGGUUUCGGCUCGUAAAACACUGUUAUAAGAGAAGAACGACAUUGAGAGUAACUGUUCAGUGUGUGACGGUAUCUUAUCAGAAAGGAACGGCUAAAUACGUGCCAGCAGCCGCGGUAAUACGUAUGUUCCAAGCGUUAUCCGGAUUUAUUGGGCGUAAAGCGAGCGCAGACGGUUAUUUAAGUCUGAAGUGAAAGCCCUCAGCUCAACUGAGGAAGGGCUUUGGAAACUGGAUAACUUGAGUGCAGUAGAGGAAAGUGGAACUCCAUGUGUAGCGGUGAAAUGCGUAGAUAUAUGGAAGAACACCGGU